rnacentral:rRNA from 1 species
UCAGCAGCCCGCGGUAAUACGGAGGGUCCGAGCGUUAUCCGGAAUCAUUGGGUUUAAAGGGUCCGUAGGCGGGCCUGUAAGUCAGGGGUGAAAGUUUGUGGCUCAACCAUAAAAUUGCCUUUGAUACUGCAGGUCUUGAGUCAUGGUGGGGUUGCCGGAACAUGUGGUGUAGCGGUGAAAUGCAUAGAUAUCACAUAGAACACCGAUCGCGAAGGCAGGUGACCAACCAUGUACUGACGCUGAUGGACGAAAGCGUGGGUAGCGAACGGGAUUAGAUACCCCGGUAGUCCACGCCGUAAACGAUGGAUACUAGCUGUGGGGACUUCGGUCUCCGUGGCCAAGCGAAAGUGAUAAGUAUCCCACCUGGGGAGUACGUUCGCAAGAAUGAAACUCAAAGGAAAUUGACGGA